rnacentral:rRNA from 1 species
CAGUCGCCACGGUAAUACGUAGGUCCCGAGCGUUGUCCGGAUUUAUUGGGCGUAAAGCGAGCGGAGGCGGUUAGAUAAGUCUGAAGUUAAAGGCAUUGGCUCAACCAAUGUAUGCUUUGGAAACUGUUAGACUUGAGUGCAGAAGGGGAGAGUGGAAUUCCAUGUGUAGCGGUGAAAUGCGUAGAUAUAUGGAGGAACACCGGUGGCGAAAGCGGCUCUCUGGUCUGUCACUGACGCUGAGGCUCGAAAGCGUGGGUAGCGAACAGGAUUAGAUACCCGCGUAGUCCCUGUCUCUUAUACA